rnacentral:tmRNA from 2 species
ACGGUGGGAAAACAUUUAAACGCAGAAGAAAAUUUUGCAUUAGCUGCAUAAGCUACGUCCCUCAUACUUGUGCCUACCAAGUGUGAAUGGACGUCAAACAGUAGGCUGGUCUAAUUUAGUUGUUCAUAUGAAUUAGGCGAGACAAUAUGAACUGGGGUUGUGUAGCUUGUCUGUGAGCGAUAGCAACCCGAGAUCUCAAUCAUAGACUGUGCUCGGAGAAGUCUAUAUGGCAACACUCUUGGACAGGGGUUCGACUCCCCUCAUCUCCACCA